rnacentral:rRNA from 1 species
GAAGGGGGCUAGCGUUGUUCGGAAUUACUGGGCGUAAAGCGCGCGCAGGCGGUCUUCCAAGUCAGUGGUGAAAGCCCGGAGCUCAACUCCGGAACUGCCAUUGAAACUGUAAGACUUGAGGAUGAGAGAGGUGAGUGGAAUUCCCAGUGUAGAGGUGAAAUUCGUAGAUAUUGGGAAGAACACCGGUGGCGAAGGCGGCUCACUGGCUCAUUUCUGACGCUCAGGCGCGACAGCGUGGGGAUCAAACAGGAUUAGAUACCCUGGUAGUCCACGCCGUAAACGAUGAAUGCUAGCCGUUGGGCAGCUUGCUGUUCAGUGGCGCAGCUAACGCAUUAAGCAUUCCGCCUGGGGAGUACGGCCGCAAGGUUG